UUGACCUCGAAUCAGGUAGGAAUACCCGCUGAACUUAAGCAUAUCAAUAAGCGGAGGAAAAGAAACCAACCGGGAUUACCUCAGUAACGGCGAGUGAAGCGGUAACAGCUCAAAUUUGAAAUCUGGCUCCUUGGGAGUCCGAGUUGUAAUUUGUAGAAGCUGCUUUGGGUUGUGGGUUCGGCCUAAGUUCCUUGGAACAGGACGUCAUAGAGGGUGAGAAUCCCGUAUGUGGCCGAGGCCUGCGCCUAUGUAAAGCGCUUUCGACGAGUCGAGUUGUUUGGGAAUGCAGCUCAAAAUGGGUGGUAAAUUUCAUCUAAAGCUAAAUAUGGGCCAGAGACCGAUAGCGCACAAGUAGAGUGAUCGAAAGAUGAAAAGCACUUUGGAAAGAGAGUUAAACAGUACGUGAAAUUGUUGAAAGGGAAGCGCUUGCAACCAGACUUGGGCGCUGUCGAUCACCCCGAGUUCUCUCGGGUGCACUCGUCAGCGUACAGGCCAGCAUCGGUUCGGGUGGCUGGAUAAAGGCCGUAGGAACGUAGCUCCUCUCGGGGAGUGUUAUAGCCUGCGGUGCCAUGCAGCCCAGCCGGACCGAGGACCGCGCCUUUGGGCUAGGAUGCUGGCGUAAUGGUUGUAAGCGACCCGUCUUGAAACACGGACCAAGGAGUCUAACAUCUAUGCGAGUGUUUGGGCGUUAAACCCAUACGCGGAAUGAAAGUGAACGUAGGU
rnacentral:rRNA from 1 species